AUGGAGCCCGCGGCGCCGAAGGAGGCGCCGCCGCCCCAGCCACAGCCCGGGGUGGAGGAGGACGGGACGCUCUCCGCGACGGCAGCUAUGGCAAGGGACGCCGCCGUGCUGUUCCAGAGCCGCCGGUACGCCGAGUGCGCCGAUGUGCUCGCGCAGCUCCUGCUCAAGAAGGAGGGUGACCCCAAGGUCCUUCAUAAUAUGGCUAUCGCAGAAUCGUUUGUGGAUGGUUGUCCUGAUCCAAAAAAGUUGCUUGAGAUUCUUGGCAAUGUUAAGAUAAGAAGCGAUGAACUUGCCUGUGCAUCUAGAGAACAAGCUGAUUCUGCCAAUGGGGUAGGGAACAAUACUUAUUCUGAACCAAGAGGCAGUGGCAUUGCACCGUUGAUUUCUGCUGCACAUAAUGCAACAGCCUAUGGAGAUGAGUUUGACACAACCAUAAUAACAUUCAACACUGCUCUUAUCCUUCAUCAUCUUCAUGAUUAUGAAUCUGCACUGUCUGUUUUGGAGCCAUUGUACCGAAAUAUUGAACCUAUUGAUGAGACAACUGCUCUUCAUGUAUGUUUUCUGUUAUUGGAUAUUACAUUAGCUUUGCAAGAUGCAUCAAAAGCCGCGGAUGUCAUUCAGUACUUGGAAAGAUCAUUUGGAGUAGCUAAUACAGGGAACCAGAAUGAAAUUGCUAGCACAGUUCAGCAGCAACCUGCUCAACUGAAACCUGCAAAAAGUAACACGCCUCCAGAUUCUGAUUCAAAUACUUGUCCUGGUGGAUCUGAGAUUCUUUCAGUUGGAAGUUUUUCGGAUGAUACACUGGAGUUUGAAUCUUUUUACUCUACUCUGGAUGGUGGAAAUCACUUGGGCAGGCCUAUCUUAAAUGAGUUCUCGAGGGCAUCAGCUGAUCUUGCUGCCACAGCUGCUGAUUUGAAAGUUAGACUACAAAUUUACAAGGUCCGGCUUCUACUUCUCACAAGGAACCUGAAGGUUGCCAAGCGAGAACUCAAAGUUCUAAUGAACAUGGCUCGUGGUAGGGAUUCAUCUACAGAGCUUCUCUUGAAAUCUCAGCUAGAGUAUGCCCGAGGAAAUUAUCGGAAGGCUGUGAAGCUUUUGAGCACCCCCAAUAAUCGGACUGAACCAGUAAUGCUAACCAUGUUCUACAACAAUCUUGGUUGUAUACUCCAUCAGCAGAGAUCCAACCAUACAUCAGUAUUGUGCUUCAGCAAAGCACUGAAAUACAGCUUAUCUCUUCGCUCAGAGAAACCAUUGAAGCUGUCUGCACUAUCACAAGACAAAUCUUGUCUGAUAUCAUACAACUGUGGGAUCCAACAUUUGAUGUGUGGUAAACCACUGUUAGCAGCUCGUUGUUUUCGUGAGGCCAUGCCGCUCUUGUACCAUCGGCCCCUCUUUUGGCUCCGUUUUGCUGAGUGUAGCCUGCUAGCUCUAGAAAUGGGCUUCCUCACUGCAAGCGGUGCUACUUCAUGCAAAGAUGAGAUUGAAAUUUAUGUUGUGGGGUCAGGGAAAUGGCGCCAUUUAGUUAUCAGUCCGGUGAACUCAGGAAGUCAUUUAUCAGAUUUUGGGAGUUCAGGUGAACAUGGAAAUUUGAUAUCACUCAGAUUUGCUAGACAGUGUCUACUCAACGCCCAACUAUUAAUGGAUGCUUCUGAGCAGAAAAAAAUGGCGAUUUCAGAUACAGAGGAGUGCAACCAAGGGUCACAAUGCCAGAAAAGUUCAGGCCAGAGCACAAUGAGUGUGGAAUCCAAAGUCCACUCUGGUCCAACAACUAAUGCAAAUGGAGAACAAAAGGGAGCCGCGAGCUUGAAUGCCACUUUGCAGAGCUCUCUUGCUAUGUAUGAUGACAUCAUUAGAAAAGAGAACCUGAAAAUUCGACAAGCCAUCCUGGGGGACCUGGCGUUCGUCGAAUUGUGUCUUGAGAAUCCCUUGAAAGCUUUGUCUAUUGCCAACUCACUGUUGCAGGUUCCAGACUGCUCCAGGAUGUACUUAUUCCUUGGCCAUGUAUAUGCAGCUGAAGCUUUAUGUUUGCUGAACAGGCUAAAGGAGGCUGUUGAUCAGUUAACUGUUUAUUUGAGAGAUGACAAUGCUAUUGAGUUGCCCUACAGUGUUGAGAAUCGUGAAAAGGCCCCUGUUGAGAAAGACAGCGAUGGCGAGGAUUCAGUCACUCCUGCCAUGACAAAACUUACCUCAGAAGAAUCUCAGCACUCAAUGUCUCUCAAGCCCGAGGAAGCCUGUGGGGUUCUGUAUGUUGACCUUGGCAUGACUGCUGCAGUGCAGGGAGAGCUUGAGCAGGCCAACUACCUGGUGAGCCGUGGUUUUGCAAUGUUGCCCAACAGCCCUAGGGCACUGCUAGCAUCCAUCUAUGUGGAUCUUCUGCAGGGGAAGGCGCAAGAAGCUAUUGGCAAGUUGAGAAGGUGCAGAAACGUGAGAUUUAAGACCAGUAGUGUAGCAGCCAGCAGAUAA
rnacentral:rRNA from 1 species